AACAGUCAAAUUUUUAAACCAAAACGGCAUCAUUUUGCUUUCUUCCAUUUUAUCCCAAUCCUUAUACCCGAUACUUAGUUAAUUUUCCCCCUAACAAAAUUUCCCCAAUUCCCUAAAUUUCCCUUAAUCCCUAAAUUUUCCCAAAUCAAAAUCCCUAGCCAUCAUCUGCCAUUGACCCGACCACCUGCUCAUCGCCAUCCACUGUCCCCUCUGCUAUCACCGUCGCUGUCACUCUUUGUUGCCGCAACCAGUCGAUAAAUUUCGCUCUCUGUUAUGAACAAAAUUAAAACUCUAAACUCACUCUAUUAUGAUUUGGGAAUUUAUUCUUUUCUUUACCCAACUACUUCUGAAUGGUGAUACUUCCUUGAACAGGUUAGUUUGCAGCCCUCAAAUAACGGAACUGCAUUGAAAGUUUAGAAGGAUGAUUUUUAGGAAAGCUUUGGAUGUUCAAUAUCAAUGGAGUGUUUUUAGUGGGAUAUUCUAGUGUCCCUCUCUGGUAUUCUUUUCGAUAACCAUGAGCUUUAAGUUGUUUGUGGCUAUUGUUUUCUCUUUUCCUAAUCUUCAAAAAUUACCUGUGUUGUUCUCUGUGUUUAUGAGGUUUAAUUGUCAUUCUGAUUUUUAGUUUCUAAGUGCCCAGGUUUCAUAUUUUUCCUUCUUGUUGUCUGUUUCCAUGGGAUGCACUUUUUGAAGGUUUCCCUGCUUGUUGCUUUUACACUUUGCUUCUUCCUUUGCGUUUUAGGACAGAUUUGGGCCUACACUUUGUUUUUGGAGUGUUUGAUUAGUUUUCAAGUUUUUCACGAAGACUUGGUUUCUUCAUGUUCCAAUCAUCCAUGUGUAAUGAAAAUCAAUUAGGACUUUCAUAGAGAGCUUACUUAAUUAUAAGUUAUUAAGGAUUCCACAACACAGAUUUAUUUUAAUUUUCUGGACAUUCUAACAUAUUUUUAACCAUUUUGUGGAUGACUUGCAAUAAGAAUGCUAAUCUAAACUAAAUUUUAGAAAUCUCAAACAAGGACUCUUUCAUUUCUAAAGGUUUUGGAAUCUUAUAAUAGAAAUGAUGGUUUUUAGGACAAAAUAUUUGGGAUGACAGAAAUGGUAAAAAAAAUGUUUGGAUGCGUAAAGAGCCCAUGUUGAAAAAGGACUUCAGUGGGGUGGGCAGCCUUCUUAAGGAUUCUUCAUGAAACAUUCAUUGACCUUUUUUAGAGAAAUUAAUUUUACAGUUUUUAGGAGUUUAGCCAUUCUUUUUAUUUAUUAAGUAAAAUUCAAUUAAUAAGCGCUAUAAUACAUUUUUAAUAAGUGAAUGUAGAUUCUAAUUUUAGAGGAAACUUAAGGUAGAACGAUUAUAAACUUCCACUAUAAAUAAUAAAUAUUCAAAUUCAAUAAAUUUCAACAAUCCUGCAUUCUUUUUAAGUUCCAAAAUGAAAAACUAAACUAAACUAAAAUAUUGAAAUUUUAUUUUUAGUAGUAUCCAUCCUCUCACUACAAAACUGUAUUAAUUAAUGUAUUUCAAAUUACAAUUUACAUUGUUUAGGGUUUAUAAAUUUAAAAUAAAAUAAAAUUAAACUUUGUUGUUAGUUACUGGAGAUAUAGAUUUAAGCAUUAUAUUUUAUUUUAAUCAUUUUUAUUUUUUAUGCUUUUUUUUUUAAUUUUAAACUUAAGUUAUCAUCAAACCGUAUAUAUUAAACUCAUUGAGUUAUAAAAUCGAGUUUUUUCAUGUUACAGGAUUGAAUUUAUCUUGGGUUCGAGUCAAAUUGAUCUCCGACUCGGAUUUGUUACGAGCUUGGGCCUUCUUGGGCUCUCGUUUUGUCGAACUCACAUUUUCUCAAGCUUGAAUUUUUUCUGAUUCAGAAUUGUUACAUCCGGUUUUCUCAAACUUAGAUUAUUACGGACUCGAAUUGAUAC
rnacentral:lncRNA from 1 species